rnacentral:misc_RNA from 1 species
AAGUCGUAACAAGGUUUCCGUAGGUGAACCUGCGGAAGGAUCAUUAUGUGUUUGCGGUUGCCAACCGCGUCUUCAUCUCGUCGCACGGAAACCCCACGGCCGUGGGCAGAAAUGCCACCGGCCGCGGGCGGAAGUGCGAUCGAGGCGAAGUACACCCUUGACUACAAGUACCUCUUGUUCCCUCGGCGGGCUCGCGCUCGCCGCUGGGCCCAUCCAAACCCCUUUGCAGUAGCCGUAUACCUCUGAUCGUGGGCACUUGAAUUUUUACAACUUUCAACAACGGAUCUCUUGGUUCUG